UUUUAUUUUGAUAAUUAGAUCAGAUUGAGGGAGUCUAACGAGUGAUAUUUGGCUUCGGUAAAUUAUUAUGGUACUAUAUUAAUAUACGGAUUUCGUACUUUUUCAUCGAUAAUCCUGUUAAAUUUAUUAAUUCAUUUUGGUAUCCGUUUCAAAUUUGGAUAUUAUUUCACAUAAUUGUUCCGUGUCAAAUUAAUAUGAUAGUUUCAUGUUGGGCGUUGGUACUAACUCAUAUUUGUAUUCU
rnacentral:lncRNA from 1 species